UACGUAGGGGGCAAGCGUUGUCCGGAAUCAUUGGGCGUAAAGAGCGUGUAGGCGGCCCGGUAAGUCCGCUGUGAAAGUCUAGGGCUCAACCCUGGAAUGCCGGUGGAAACUGUCGGGCUAGAGUCCGGAAGAGGCGAGUGGAAUUCCUGGUGUAGCGGUGAAAUGCGCAGAUAUCAGGAGGAACACCGAUUGCGAAGGCAGCUCGCUGGGACGUUACUGACGCUGAGACGCGAAAGCGUGGGGAGCAAACAGG
rnacentral:rRNA from 1 species